rnacentral:rRNA from 1 species
AACGAACGCUGGCGGCAUGCCUAACACAUGCAAGUCGAACGAGACCUUCGGGUCUAGUGGCGCACGGGUGCGUAACGCGUGGGAACCUGCCCUUAGGUUCGGAAUAACUCCCCGAAAGGGGUGCUAAUACCGGAUAAUGUCUUCGGACCAAAGAUUUAUCGCCUUUGGAUGGGCCCGCGUUGGAUUAGCUAGUUGGUAGGGUAAAAGCCUACCAAGGCGACGAUCCAUAGCUGGUCUGAGAGGAUGAUCAGCCACACUGGGACUGAGACACGGCCCAGACUCUUACGGGAGGCAGCAGUGGGGAAUAUUGGACAAUGGGCGAAAGCCUGAUCCAGCAAUGCCGCGUGAGUGAUGAAGGCCUUAGGGUUGUAAAGCUCUUUUAACCGGGAUGAUAAUGACAGUACCGGGAGAAUAAGCUCCGGCUAACUCCGUG